rnacentral:rRNA from 1 species
UACGUAGGUGGCAAGCGUUGUUCGGAAUUAUUGGGCGUAAAGGGCGCGUAGGCGGCAUGACAAGUCACUUGUGAAAUCUCUGGGCUUAACCCAGAACGGCCAAGUGAUACUGUCGCGCUAGAGUGCGGAAGGGGCAAUCGGAAUUCUCGGUGUAGCGGUGAAAUGCGUAGAUAUCGAGAGGAACACCUGAGGUGAAGACGGGUUGCUGGGCCGACACUGACGCUGAGUGCGCGAAAGCCAGGGGAGCAAACGGG